GUGCCAGCAGCCGCGGUAAUACGGAGGGUCCGAGCGUUAAUCGGAAUUACUGGGCGUAAAGCCGUGCGCAGGCGGUUUGUUAAGCGAGAUGUGAAAGCCCUGGGCUCAACCUAGGAAUAGCAUUUCGAACUGGCGAACUAGAGUCUUGUAGAGGGGGGUAGAAUUCCAGGUGUAGCGGUGAAAUGCGUAGAGAUCUGGAGGAAUACCGGUGGCGAAGGCGGCCCCCUGGACAAAGACUGACGCUCAGGUGCGAAAGCGUGGGGAGCAAACAGGAUUAGAUACCCUGGUAGUCC
rnacentral:rRNA from 1 species